CAUCAGUGGAACGUGUCUCCUGCCCUUCUUCCAAAAUAAAUCACUUGGGGAAUCCUACCAUAUAAGCCGAAAUAGGGUUGCUUUGGUUGACAGAUGGGGGACACAGAACCCCAGCUAGACGGUUCCCUCUCCAUCCCUAUAGCAGCCUUUGCCUUGAGACAGGAAGACUCCAGCUCAGUGGAGCAUGGGGUGAAGAACCAACCUCAGCCUUCCACCCAGCACUGGAGAUCUCCUCAUGGCUUCCUUUCUCCCACCUCUGACCACUCGCUUCCAGAGAGAAGUCUCCCAGGAAGCCAGACCCAACGCCCAGCAGUACCCAGCACCAGAAUACACUUCCUACAUGAUACCCAAAUUCACUUCCCUGUCACUUUCACCCCGAAGUCUCAGUUCUGCCUGGGGGGGGAUGCAAGGAAAAGGCCAAGUUCCUCUUUCCCAUGAUUUACAGCGCGUGUCUCCCCUGGAGUCUCUCAUCCAGAUGAAACAGGCACUUAAAUCUACGACAAGUGGGUGAACGCAGGAAAAAAUGCAGCAACAAUCAAACGAGGGGGUGGGAGAGAGGUGGAAACGGGAGGAAGAGAAGGAAGAGCCUCCCCAGUCCCUCGGGGACCUCCUCUAGCUUGAAAACAGUUCCUCUUAAAAAGUAAGCUUGGGGAGCUGAACAAAAUAUUCCAGAAAGACCUUAAGCCAGUGUUUUUCAGACUACAGGUGGUGACCCCUGUCAGUGGUAAACAGCCUCUCAGUGGUUCUAAACCAUCGUUUCGCUUAAUGAAAGAACAGAAUAGAGCAGAGAAUGUCGUUGUUCAUCAACCAGCCUCGGGGUCAGGGGUGGUUUGGAAACAUCUUUUCCGGGUAUGUAUAUACGUGCGUGUGUGUCUGUGUGUCUGUGUGUGUGUGGUGUGCCGGAAUGUGGAAACGGGUCUUGAUGUAGAAUGUUUCUUACUGUGGGUCACAAGUCAGAGGGAAAAAAGCCAGUGUUCCAACACUAUGAAAGAGGCACCACAAUCAUCCCCAUUCUCAGAUGAAAAUAAUGAGACAGAUCAAUUAUUAACUUGCCUAAGGUCACCCAACUAGUAAACGCCAGGGCUGAGACUGGAACGGGAUGGGAGAGGCGGGUGGGAGGCAGUCUGACUCCACAGCAUGAACUUGAACCCCUCCCCUCAGGGCCUCCAGAAUACGAAACAGCCACUCCGUGCAGGCAGGGGGAGGGUGCUGCGGGACCAGUCUUGGGACCAGGAGGCACCUUGCAGGCUCUCCUCUCACCCAUUAGACUCACAUUCCCUUCCUUCACUCAGGGCACACCCACACCGACCCCAGUGAGCUUUUGUGGAAGGACCAUACUGCCAACGCUCUGGGUCAUCAAAGAGGCAGAGUCCCAUCUACCAGAAUUAACGUAUUCCUUUCACCCUGGGCAGAGGGCUUCAACCAGCCGCGUGAAGGCUGAGUGAAGAUUCAGUCUGUAUUUUUCCACUAACCCACAAAGAUAUGUGUGAAAGAUGUUUCAAAACCUCAUCGACAGCAAAAUCCACCUCAGUGCGGUGGUACCAGACGUGGCCAUCAGCCUCUCCUUAAUCCAUGUCACGUGUUUAAUAGAUUCUUGAUGCUUUAGUCCCACAGACAAACUCUAAAAACUUUCUAGAUCCCGAGAGCUUUAUUGGACAAAUAUUAUCACUGUCUCGCAAAGGUCUGUUACAAGCAUUCAUCACCUCCACAUACUUCAUCCUUCUCACUUGUGUGCCCCAAGGCUCUUCCGCCAUUACCGACCACAAGACAAAUUUUGGUAGCACUUGAGUCUACUCUGCUAUAAAAGGAAGCCUGUAAUUUUGAUAUGUAAGGCCCUGGGGUGUGGGAGAUCCCAGACCCUGGCCAGUGAGCUCUGUCCUUUCUUCCGCAGUGUGGUUCUCAGAGCACCAAAGUCUUAUUUUUAAAUUCUGAUUCUGGGAGUUCCUGUUGUGGCUCAGUGUGUUAAGAGCCCGACUCGUAUUCAUAAGCAUGUAGGCUCGAUCCCCGGCCUUGCUCAUUGGGUUAAGGAGCUGGCGUUGCUGUGAGCUGUGGGUAGGUCGCAGACAUAGCUCGGAUCCCAUGGUACUGUGGCUGUGGUGUAGACCGGCAGCUGUAGCUCCGAUUCGACCCCUAGCCUGGGAACUUCCCUAUGCCACAGCUCAAUGUACCAUAUUUUUCCCAUGCUCAAAUUGAGGCAGUGUUUUUUUUUAUUAUUCCUUCCUGGAAACUCACCUCCCCAGAAGGGCCCCUGGAAUGACCCAUCUCUGCCUGGAGGGGCCUCAAACAAAGCAAAGGAAGUUGAGGGUAGUUAGGUCUUUAACUUAGUAUUAGCCAGGAUUGUUCUGCUUCUCUGGUUUGAAGAGCUUCCUCCUUGAUAAAGAAGGCAGUGUCCUUUGGGUUACAGUCUGUUCUAUAAAAUUCUGUUCUGUUCUAUAAACAUAAACCGUGUACCGUAAUUUUCCUCUCUUGCUCUGCACAGGGUUCAGAAAGUCUCUUCCAUCUUCUUUAGGUCUCAGUGGUUCAGGGAGAUGGGACACGGCUACACCUAGGAAGGGUUCAUCCUUUCCGGGAUCCAACCCAAACCCUGGGGCGAGCUUGAGGAACCAGCGCAAGGGAGGAGUCACGGGCAAGGCGGGGGUGCUGGACGAGCAUGGUCUCUUGGGGUGAAGGGCCGUCCCUCAUUAUCAAGGGAGUCACACAUCUGCAUCAAGGCAAGCUCAACGCUCAGGAUGCCUGGGAGGAUUGAACGAGAUCAUGUUUGUAAACCCUUGGUGUCAGGCACGUAGUCAGGAUUUAACAAGCCGCCAUUAGCCCUGUCAUCAUUACUUUUGCUGUCAUCCAAAAGAGCUCUGGUAGUCCUCGGCUCUCCAACAAGCCUUCAGGGCCUACCAUGACUCUGCUGACCCCAGAAGCUCCUUCAGCAGCUGCCUCUUCCAGCACAUAAACACCCCAAGCCAGAGCAGGCUGAAUUCACUGAGGCUCCGGCUCUGCAGUUACCUAAUGAGUCAGGCUUCUCAGAAUCUCCAUCCCUGAAGACUGGGGCAGUGAUCCCGCCCAGUCACACUUGCACUGGAGGGAGAGGACCAGGUUAGGAGGACAAUGGGCUGGGGUCCAUCCCAACCUCACCUCCUCUAUGUACUGAGCCUCUGUUGGCUCCUGCCUCAUUGGGUUGUUGUGAAUGUAAUUAUGGGAAGGUGCCUAGCGCAGAACCUGAUACCAUGUAGAGACAGAAGAAAGUUCACCAAAUUUCAGCCCAGACGUCUGAGUGCCUGGCAUCUUUCUGGGAAUUAUAGGAGGCAGGUAUUGUGGGGAAAUGAGGAGCCAGGGAGAGAAAGAGUGUCUUGGAAAUAGACACGUCUCCUCAAUUGCUCAUUGGCAGGUCCUGGCAGAGAAUCUGCCCCUGAGGGAUUUUGGCUGGGUCUGUGGUGUGGAAGAGAAAGAAAGGAAUCAGAUGAUAAAGAUGAGGCCUCUUCAUGAAGCACAGAACCCAAAGCUCCACGACUCAUCAAUGAAGAAGCUGGGGUUGGAACCCAAGUAUGUCUGACCCCAUAGCCUACACUGUUUCAACUUCCAGAAGCUGCAGAGGAAAGGCAUGGCCUCCCAAUAGGGCCUGAGAACAAGUCUCUCACUCUCCAGAUCCACCAAAUGGACGCCAAAAGCCCAGGUUACCUGGUGUGAUCCCAGACCCCGAAAGUUUGCUCAGACUGCUGUCAGGCCAUGAUGCAAAACAAAGUCCAGCCAACACGCUGGGAAGUUCCCAAGUAAGGACUGCCCAUUAGGAGAGUCUCACAUUGGCCAGAAAUGGCCAGUUCCUAGCACCCAUGUGCUUCUCAUCAGCUGGGAGCUGCCCGGAGAGCAUGACCUCGGCCUGAAGGUUCUGCAGCCAGAAGCUGUCACCUACGGCUCCCCUCACAGUUGAGUAGUAAGUUCUUCACUGAAGAGAGGUCCAAGCAGUGCGACCACUCCAUGGCUCCCACAGUCCACCUAUUCCCUGUACGGAUACACAUCUCCAAGCUCCUGGCCGACAUCUCUCCCGUCUUGGAAGAGGGAGGAUGAUGGGACAAACUCCAGCUCCCAUCACUGCAGCCACUCUUAGAACUUCAACUGGGAACUCAUCGUCUCCUUCCUCAACUACCGGUUCUCAACCCCCGCCCCUCCCCUGAGCUGUCACCUUGUCAGGUCAGAUUAUGGGACCCAAGCCUUCAAUCCUCACCCCAAGGCCUGCAUUGCGAUUCUCCUUCUGGGGCGUUCCACCAGACUCACACCACAUGGUUUUCUAAACUGGCAUCUCCAACCCCAAGAUCUGCUGCUGUGGACAGCCCAUGAGGGAGGCAUCCUCGUAUUGCAGCCUGUUCUUGCUGCAGAGUCCUUUCCAGCCCUGGGCCCUGCUCAAAGCUGGGAGCCUUUCACGUCGUCAUAUGGACUGGAACAGUAUCCCUAGAUAGGGAAUGUGUGCCUUCAGAACCCAAAAAAGUCCAGCUAGCAUUUUGCUUUAUGGUGGCAGAAAGCAAAAUGCAGCGAUUUGUGGAUCUUUGCAAGGCACUUUCUAGAGCACACACUAGAAAGCUUCCUAUCAAAGCCUCAGUUUGCUAGUCACCUCUUGCUCAUCCUCUUGGUUAGUAUAACGUCCUCAAGGUCACAGUCAGUGCGACGUUCUGCAGGAUGUCUGGGGGGUCUACAACUCCUUGGCUCAUGUUGUGACAAAGAGCAAGAGAUUUAACAAGGCCCUGGAACAAAACUACAAAGGUACACUCUUGUUCAUCCCAUGUGAGUAGGAGCUGUUCCUGACCUUCACAUUUGCCAAGUCAACGGCAGCAUAUCCUGCACCUGAAGCCAUAUACGUCUGCUCUGGCAAAGACCCUAGGUCUCCAGGGCAGCUGCAUUUGGGGCUUCUAUUUGGUAGAACUUUCAGGUGUCUGUCAUCACACUCUAGAAUUCAUCUGGUUUCUGCAAGGACCAGACUGAUAAACUAAACAAAAAUAUGAUAGGACCACCGCUCCCAUAUCCUGGGGUCCUUAAUGACAGCGUCAAUAUCUGCCGCCUCCCCAUGAUACAGCAUUGGUUUUGAUGUACUGUCUUGGUUGGGGUGGAGUAUGGAGAACAGAGAGUGGAGAGGGAAGAAGAGAAAGGAGAACAGCUUCAGAGACUUCCAUUUGGCCUUCUCCACUAUGCUAACUUUCCCUCCAUAGGUCAUGACCCAAUGUAAGGAUUAUUCCAUCUGCCAAGUAUGUCAACCCCAACUAUACAUUCAGAGAUCAGAUAAAUGCGUGCUUGGGACACUCACAUCCCCCGUGGGUCUACUAUAGGCUGGACUCUGGGCAGGACUCCAUUGGUACUUGUCUCUCGUAUGUAGGUCCAUAAUGACGUGUCAGGUUUCUGGGUAUCAGUGUCACCUCAGACCCUGGGUCUAAUUGUCCUAGAAAUAUCUGGUUAUUCACAUCCCCCACAUAAACAGGCUCUGGGUAAAUGGCCAACAGCCCCUUUGUGGAAGGACUGGAAAAAUCCCCAA
rnacentral:lncRNA from 1 species